UACAGAGGGUGCAAGCGUUGUUCGGAAUUAUUGGGCGUAAAGCGCGUGUAGGCGGCUUCGCAAGUCGGGUGUGAAAUCCCCCAGCUUAACUGGGGAAGUGCGCUCGAAACUGCGGGGCUCGAGUACCGGAGAGGAUGGCGGAAUUCCCCAAGUAGAGGUGAAAUUCGUAGAUAUCGAGAGGAACACCGGUGGCGAAGGCGGCUAUCUGGACAGUGACUGACACUGAGGCACGAAGGCCAGGGGAGCAAACGGG
rnacentral:rRNA from 1 species